GAUGAACGCUGGCGGCGUGCCUAAUACAUGCAAGUCGAGCGAACGGACGAGAAGCUUGCUUCUCUGAUGUUAGCGGCGGACGGGUGAGUAACACGUGGAUAACCUACCUAUAAGACUGGGAUAACUUCGGGAAACCGGAGCUAAUACCGGAUAAUAUUUUGAACCGCAUGGUUCAAAAGUGAAAGACGGUCUUGCUGUCACUUAUAGAUGGAUCCGCGCUGCAUUAGCUAGUUGGUAAGGUAACGGCUUACCAAGGCAACGAUGCAUAGCCGACCUGAGAGGAUGAUCGGCCACACUGGAACUGAGACACGGUCCAGACUCCUACGGGAGGCAGCAGUAGGGAAUCUUCCGCAAUGGGCGAAAGCCUGACGGAGCAACGCCGCGUGAGUGAUGAAGGUCUUCGGAUCGUAAAACUCUGUUAUUAGGGAAGAACAUAUGUGUAAGUAACUGUGUACAUCUUGACGGUACCUAAUCAGAAAGCCACGGCUAACUACGUG
rnacentral:rRNA from 1 species